CCAUGUGAGUGUGUUUAUUUACAAAAGUCAGAACACAAUCUCUUAGUGCGCCAUAGCCUAUUUUUCCCCCUUAAUAACAGACUGUGUUCAUUUUUCCAUGUUGUCAAAUAGUCUUCUGCAGCAUCAGUUUAACACCUUAAGGGAUGUUUGAUCUCAGAGCCCCUGGCAGCCUGCUUUCCCUGACCCCCAUUCUGAGUAGGGAGCCUGCUGCCACAGUUGCUCCAGGAAGUAACCUGGGUCUGCGCCUUGCCUUUCAGAAAGGGAAGGCCCUGGGAAGGCCUUGAGCACCUGCCACUUCCACCCCUCCUGAGCUGAGGCCCCGAUAGCCCACUCAUGGGCACAGAGCCUGCCUGCAACUUCUCCAGCACUGCCCACCGGUGCGACCUGGGAUCCCAACCUCGUGUGGGCACAGCUACUAAGGGCAGGGGAACAACCUGCCCCUGGGGAGCAGUCCACUACCCCUGCCUUGACGCUUCAGUCUCUUUGGCCAGAUGUGGGUGGCUUGCAGGCUGUGGUGAUCAUCAUUCUACCCCUAUUGUCCUCAUCCACUCUGCUGAUCCUCAGCUGCAUGCUAUGGAAGACAUGCUACCGGCGGUCUCGCGUCCCCCACUCCAGCCUGGCGUCCCCAUCAGGAGCCCAGGAAUGUGAAAUGUGGAAUAUAAGACCCAGAAAUGGAGCUGAGUUACAAUAACAUCUGUGAACCUCUGCUGAUGGGCCCCCAGACUGGUUAAUCAACAAUUCCUUUGAGUCAGAAGCCUCUUGCAAUCAAUUCCCCAAACUUUGAAUUUUCAUUUCCUUUCAAAGUCAGUUUCUGUUAUUUUUAAUAACUUUAAAAUUCAGGGAGUAGAGAAAGUAGAAGCUGAAAGGGUAUGUAGGUUUAAUCAGCACAGUCCAAUGUAAGUAUAAUAUGAACCACAUAUGCAAUUUCACAUUUUCUAGUACGCACACUGAGGAAGGUAAAAAAAUGAGUGAAAUUAAUUUUAAUAACAUAUUUUAUUUCACCCACUAUAUAUAAAUAUUUCAGUAUGUAGGCAAUAUUUAAAAACUGUUAAUGAGAUAUUUUAUAUUCUCUUUGAAUUACAUCUUUGAAAUCUGGGGUGGGGAUGCCCCGGGUGGCUCAGUUGGUUAAGCGUCUGCCUUUGGCUCAGGUCAUGAUCCCAGGGUCCUGGGAUCGAGUCCCAUAUGGGACUCCUUGCUCAGCAGGGAUCCUGCUUCUCCCUCUGCCUGCCGUUUCCCCCUGCUUGUGCCCUCUCUCUUUCUCUCUGAUAAAUAAAUAAAUAAAUAAUAAAUAAAUAAAUCUUUGAAAUCUGGGGUGUAUCUUACAUUUAUAGCACAUCUCAAAUCAGACUGGCCACAUUUUGAGCACUCCAUAGCCACAUGAGGUUGGUGGUUAACAUAAUGGACAGUGCAGAUUUAGAUCCUCAGGGCCUUGGAGGGGCAGCUAAAAAGUCCGGGCUUCAUUCUGAAAGCAGUGGACAUCCCCCAAAGAGAUUCAAGCCAGGAAGUAACAUGAUUAAAAAAGAUUCAUUUUAGAAAGAUCAUUCUGACUUCCCCUUAAAGAAUAGACUGGCCAGAAGUUAAGGCUAGCAUUGGUGAGAUCAGCUGGGAGGAGUUAAAGUCAUCCAGAUGAGAGAUGAGGGAUGACGAUGACAGGAUUUGGCAGCGGCAGCAGGAAUACUGAGAUAUAAUUGAAUUCAAGAGAUGCUUAGGAGACAGACACAACAUGCCUCAUCAUCACUGUUGCCCUGAAACAUGAGUGCUAUAUCCUACCUGCACACCUUUGUGUAUCUCCUCCCCGCACACCUUUGUGUAUCUCCUCCCCACCACCCCAUCCCAAGUAUCUUCUUUUCUCUCUGGCAACCAAGGAAGCAAAUCCUCCCAAUUUUUAAGGCUGUAGUCCAUGGUAGCUACGCAUGCAGAAUAGUUCACAGCAGGGGAUCAAUUAACAAAUGUUUCCUUCCUCCCUCAAGAAAGUCUUUUCCAAGGGUGCCUGAAUGACUCAAUCCAUAGAGCAUGAGACUCUUGAUCUCAGGUUCAUGAGUUCAAGCCCCACGUUUGGCUCACUUAAAACAAACAAACAACUGAGGGGCGCCUGGUGGCUCAGUCGUUAAGCGUCUGCCUUCGGCUCAGGUCAUGAUCCCAGGGUCCUGGGAUCGAGCCCCGCAUCGGCUCCCUGCUCCGCGGGAAGCCUGCUUCUCCCUCUCCCACUCCCCCUGCUUGUGUUCCCUCUCUCGCUGUGUCUCUCUCUGUCAAAUAAAUAAAAUUAAAAAAAAAAAAACUGAAAAAAGAAAAAAAGAAAGAAAGUCUUCUCUGAAUGCUCCUGCCCACACCUAACCCCCAAACCUGAAAUAUGAAAACCGGGAAUAUUGGUGUCCCCCCGCCCAACGAGGUAAGCUAAAGGUCCUGUUCUGGGAAGUUGUUGGCAACUCUGCGAGGUGCAGUGAUUUCAGCUGCAUGAGUGAAGGUGGAGAGUUGUAUUGAACCAGGGUUAUGGUUUUGCCAAGAGAAUACAACAAACAGAAAAGAGACAAGAUUGUUGAGGGUGAUCGUGAGAGAAUGAUGCUAAAAGUUGACCAUGGAAUUUAAGCUGGCACGGGAAUCUUUAAGUGCUAUUCGUAAGUAUUCCAAUUCUCCAACCUCAACCCUCCACCUCAACCUUCUGGACUUCGGGUAAAAAUGCACUUUCCUGUUCACUUGACGUUAGGCAUGGCCAUGUGACUAAUUUUGGCCAACUAGUAACAGAUCCUAGCUGGAGCAUAUAAUUGACAACAAAACCCUCAGAGUUCUCUUUUCCCUCUGACAUCGUGACCACCAUGACUUGA